UACGGGGGGGGCAAGCGUUGUUCGGAAUUACUGGGCGUAAAGGGCUCGUAGGCGGCCAACUAAGUCCGACGUGAAAUCCCCAGGCUUAACCUGGGAACUGCGUCGGAUACUGGAUGGCUUGAAUUCGGGAGAGGGAUGCGGAAUUCCAGGUGUAGCGGUGAAAUGCGUAGAUAUCUGGAGGAACACCGGUGGCGAAGGCGGCAUCCUGGACCAACACUGACGCUGAGGAGCGAAAGCCAGGGGAGCAAACGGG
rnacentral:rRNA from 1 species